rnacentral:lncRNA from 1 species
CUAGUAGCACUACUCGUCAGCAUCGUGUUCUACAACGAAAUCUCCGCUAACGUUCAAUCGUACGUCGGUAUAGCAACAAAUUAGUACAAACACUUGGUCUAUACACUCUUGUGUGUAGAUGUGCCUGUGCAACAAGUGCAUUCUUUGGAGAUCGAGCAACUUCACGGCAGUGGACCUGUACAAACUGCUGCCUCUUCACUGGCGCCGGAGUUAAUUGGUUACCAGAUAGCUUAUCAUCUGUAAAUAUAUAUACAUACAUCCGAAUGAAAGAUUUAUAGUCAACUGUAAAAGAAAACAAAGUACGAAAAGCCUAAAACAAAGACUUAAAGAAAUAUCAGCGAAAACGUACCCCCUGACGAAAUACCCGUAUCCAUAGCGACAUACCCGCGCCACUUCUACAGGUUUACUCGCAUUUAUCCUAAAUUCAAGCCAGCAAGAUGGUGCUAGGAGAAGCAGCUGAGGUCGAGGUUACAGACGUUGCAAGGGAAAGGACAUCAUCCGGAAAUGAUGGUGCCAAAGCUGUAGAAGUCAUGCGAAAGCAAAAAGUAGCCCAAGUUGAAGCUAAGAAGAAUAAACAAGAUGCACCGAACAAAGGAUGGGGCAUGUUUGAGAGCCAUGAGAAAUUCACAGAACUUCACCUAUGUUAGAUACCACGCGACUGUGUAACGUCCAUAGUUAUGUGUAGUAAGAUGACGAAUCAAAAAUGAUGUUUUUUUGUGCGCUCCGUCGCGAGGUUCAGUAGAUUCACACGUUACCAACGGACGACAAUUUAUAUUUUUUGACUAGAUAAAGAGAUUGUCAUCGUAGAUUGUCAUUUUUGUAAUUAUAUUAGGGGCCGUCAACAGGAAUCGAAGGCAUUGAACACCCGGAAUGCGAUUUUUUCGUUAUAAGGACGCCAUAUUUGUAUCUCGCGUAAUUAUAAAGAUCCGUCGUAAUUUUCUAAGUAAGAUAUCGGCAACCAGCAUUCGCUGCCACGAUCAUCAUUGACAAACACGUGUACAGCAUGCUCGUCAGCUUGUUCGCUCUGAGGGACGGGAGCGCCAGAGAGGAAAGUGACGGCAAACCAAUCUUUUGCUGUGACUUGCGGAGGACCUCCCGAGCUUUCCCCCAGACUGGAAUCUUGUUUACCAUCCGCAUGAGAGUACUGCCGUCGACUGACUCCAACUUUUUUGUGUCCAUAGCUUUCAGAUCGUCUGCACAUAAUAGUAAUAAUAACAGAUUAAUUAUAAUAAUUGCCUUUACGCCCUUGUUCUCCAUUAGUGUGACGAUUCUAUUUUAGAUUUACCGAAAAAGCACAUGUCUUAAAUAUUUGGAUAUGUCUUGAAAUCCCUACCAAUCGUGUUCAUGCCGGCGAUGAAUUGUAUUGCUGUUACAGUAGAUUUGAACCUUUUCGCUGAUAUUUCUGCUUUAAAAGGUUAGCCUUAGUAGGUUAGCCGCUGUAAUCAUCUUAUUGUUAAUUGUGCAUGUGUGUAGUUAUUCAUAGUACUACUUUUUUUAUAGAGUAAUAUUCUAUCUGCAUUAAAUAAGUAAUGAUUUGUUUUUAGUGAUUC